GUGGGGAAUAUUGGUCAAUGGGCGAGAGCCUGAACCAGCCAAGUAGCGUGAGGGAUGACUGCCCUAUGGGUUGUAAACCUCUUUUGUUUGGGAAUAAAGUGAGCCACGUGUGGCUUUUUGUAUGUACCUUACGAAUAAGCAUCGGCUAAUUCCGUGCCAGCAGCCGCGGUAAUACGGAAGAUGCGAGCGUUAUCCGGAUUUAUUGGGUUUAAAGGGAGCGUAGGCGGGCCUUUAAGCCAGCGGUCAAAUGUCAGGGCCCAACCUUGGCAUGCCGUUGGAACUGGUGGCCUUGAAUACACACAAGGAAGGUGGAAUUCGUCGUGUAGCGGUGAAAUGCUUAGAUAUGACGAAGAACUCCGAUUGCGAAGGCAGCCUUCUGGGGUGCGAUUGACGCUGAGGCUCGAAAGUGCGGGUAUCGAACAGG
rnacentral:rRNA from 1 species